AGAAGAGAAGUCGAAGAAUGUGGGCCUCCUCUGCUGUUUUAGUAACCUGGGAGUAUCUCAGAAAUUUGCAUGUGGCUCUGGAUGUGCCCACUUGGAGCCUCCUUCCCCACUUUUAACUGUCUUACACGGACAUUGGGGACUUCAGUCUAGGAAGCAUGAAUCCCCGGCCCAACUUUAAAGAACGCUCAGGAACACCAAGUCUUCCCUACCCCAGAGGAAGACAUUCUAAGUGGUUGAGUCUAUCCGGUCAGCCUAGAGGCUCAUCGUGGGAACUCACUGAAGAGCCCCAGGAGUUGGGAGGCUUGUUCCCAUGCUGACAGAACAGCCCAGAGCCUGAUCAACUAGUCAAGGAGCAGGACCCAGCCUGGGGAUAUUUAAUCAUCUGUUCAUGGAGACCCUGUUUAUAUAUCUUCUUCCCGGUCUUGCUUCUCUGUCCCUCUCCUUCCUUCUCCAUCCCCUUCUUCUUUUUCUUUUCUUUUCUUUCUUUCUUUUUUUUUUUGAGACAAGGUCUUGUUAUGUAACAUAGGCAGUCUUUAAAACUCACUAUCCUCCUGCCUCAGCAGCCCAAGUGCUCCUUCACAGGAGUUCCUCACCUAGUCUGGCUUCCUUCUUUGUCCCCCCCUUAUGCUCUGCGGAGGAGAAGCCAGGGACAGCAGAGUCCUGAUGACAUCUAUCAAGGGGGAAGACCAGCCCAGCCUGGAGGAGCCAACACUACCCUCACUGUUCUCACCACAGCCUGCACUUUAUUAGAAUUUAUAAGUUGCCCCGAUUGAGGGGGAAAAUAAUUAACAUCCCUACAAAUAUAUCGUAAACAAAAUAUUUAUUAGAAAUAAAUAACUCAUUUAUUUUA